UCCCAAGUAAGUAGAGGUGGCUUAGAC
rnacentral:piRNA from 1 species